AAUGAACGCUGGCGGCAGGCCUAACACAUGCAAGUCGAACGAGUGGCGGACGGGUGAGUAAUGUAUGGGAAACUGCCCGAUAGAGGGGGAUAACUACUGGAAACGGUAGCUAAUACCGCAUACCAUCGGAUGUACCCAUAUGGGAUUAGCUAGUAGGUGGGGUAAAGGCUCACCUAGGCGACGAUCCCUAGCUGGUCUGAGAGGAUGAACAGCCACACGGGAACUGAGACACGGUCCAGACUCCUACGGGAGGCAGCAGUGGGGAAUAGUGCACAAUGGGCGCAAGCCUGAUGCAGCCAUGCCGCGGGUAUGAAGAAGGCCUUCGGGUUGUAAAGUACUUUCAGCGGGGAGGCGUUACCCGCAGAAGAAGCACCGGCUAACUCCGUGCCAGCAGCCGCGGUAAUAC
rnacentral:rRNA from 1 species